rnacentral:rRNA from 1 species
UACGGAGGGGUCUAGCGGUGUUCUGGCUUACUGGGCGCAAAGGGCGCGUCGGCGGGCGAUCAAGUCAGGGGUGAAAGGCCUGGGCUCAACCUGGGAAUUGCCUUUGAAACUGAUUGUCUAGAGUCCGGAAGAGGAUGGCGGAAUUCCCAGUGUAGAGGUGAAAUUCGUAGAUAUUGGGAAGAACACCAGUGGCGAAGGCGGCCAUCUGGUCCGGUACUGACGCUGAGGUGCGACAGCGUGGGGAGCAAACAGG